AACACUCAACUUAAUUUUAAAAUAAAAAGAUAAUCAGAAAGUAAUCUUAUUCCCCUUGAAAUCGGCAAUUCCUCCCGUCUUUUUCAUAGAGAACGU
rnacentral:rRNA from 13 species